CAGCAGCCGCGGUAAAACGUAGGGUGCAAGCGUUAAUCGGAAUUACUGGGCGUAAAGCGUGCGCAGGCGGUUAUAUAAGACAGAUGUGAAAUCCCCGGGCUCAACCUGGGAACUGCAUUUGUGACUGUAUAGCUAGAGUACGGCAGAGGGGGAUGGAAUUCCGCGUGUAGCAGUGAAAUGCGUAGAUAUGCGGAGGAACACCGAUGGCGAAGGCAAUCCCCUGGGCCUGUACUGACGCUCAUGCACGAAAGCGUGGGGAGCAAACAGGAUUAGGUACCCCAGUAGUCCCUGUCUCUUAUAC
rnacentral:rRNA from 1 species